rnacentral:rRNA from 1 species
CGUGUCGUGAGAUGUUGGGUUAAGUCCCGCAACGAGCGCAACCCCUAUCGUGUGUUGUAUCACUCACACGAGACUGCCGAGAGAAACUCGGAGGAAGGCGGGGAUGACGUCAAGUCAACAUGGCCCUUACGUUCUGGGCUACACCCACGCUACAAUGGCCGGUACAACGGGCUGCGAAACCGCGAGGUGGAGCGAAUCCCUUAAAGCCGGUAUCAGUUCGGAUUG